rnacentral:lncRNA from 1 species
GGGAGUUUGACAGGUGAAGAGACCUCUUUCAGGCAGAGGGAACAAAAUAAGCCACAGUCCUCAUCCUUGAACCAGGUGAGAACUUCUAGCUUACUGGGUAAAGUCCAAUUAACGUGGUGCAGAAUUCCAUCCAUGGCAGGGCUCCUGCUGUCUCCAGCCUCAUCUCCAGGCACACCCUGCACCCUUGAGAAGACAAUGCUUCCGUGUCCACCAGUUCAUUCCUUCCAGACACAUCCCAGUGGUGUCUAGCUCAGGUCUCAGCUCCUGGAAAGGGACAAGGACGCCCCAGAGUCUGCUUUUUUGACACUUACCUUCUGGUCCCCCUGAAAAAUCAUGCUGCAUCACGCCUGCACAUUGUCCUUUCUGCGGAAAUGUCCUGUCUCCCCAUCUCUAUCUGCCAAAGACCCACGCAUAAUGCAAACAAUUCAGGUUUCACCCUUUGCAGUGAACUUUGUACAGCUCUCCCAGAGCCGUGGAGUCUAGGUCUAUGCCCAAGAGAGAUGCAUGAAAUGUUUUACUGGUUUCUGCAAAUAAGCCAGACCAAGGGAGAAACAGACCUUCAGCAAGUAGUAACCAAAUGCAAGUUUUGAGAAUGUGGAGGGAGAGGAGCUUCUGCCCCUGCAAACUGGGCAGUGCAUCCAAGGUCUCCUGCUAACAUCUGUCACUCAUCGGAGCCACCUGAUCUGAAGCGUUGUCAGGGUCAGUAUUUUUGUUCUGCCUGCUGUUUUGCUAAUGGAUCAAUGGCAGUCAGUAAAGAACAAACCGUGCCAGAAAAGAAUGUCCUCUUCUUCUCAGCUGACUCAGCUCGGGACAGGAAGACAGGGGGCAUCUGGCAUUUGGGGAAGCCCUUGAUUGUCCCUUAGGAAAUAACUGAAAAUGGAUUUGUGUUGGCCUGGUUCUAAGAAGGUCACCCAGGUUGAAUUUGAAAAGCAGAGGCACUGUGUCCACAAAAGAAAGUGAUAAGCAGCAAGCCAUUUCUCAAAGCUAAUGCCCGAGUGUGUACCACCGGGAUCCAUUUUAUAUCUCUCUACAGAUUGGUGUGUUUUUCAUGACAACCAUCCCCAUAGCAACCAGGUGUCCAGGCACUAAAUUGAUCUCAAGGAUAUGAAAUCUCAGCCUGGUGAGGGAAGCCCACUCUGACUGCAGUUUCCUUGGAGUCGUUUCACAUCGAGGGCUGGUGUGCAGGUCAUGGGGAAUGGGGCUUCUUCCUGAGGGCUCAGCUGGACACAAGGGACAGCCCUGGUGAGAGGGGAGCCU